GAUGAAGAACGCAGCGAAAUGCGAUACUUGGUGUGAAUUGCAGAAUCCCGUGAACCAUCGAGUCUUUGAACGCAAGUUGCGCCCGAAGCCACUAGGCCGAGGGCACGCCUGCCUGGGCGUCACACGCCGUUGCCCCCCCAUCUACUCCUUCGGGAUUGCGGGGGGGCGGAUGAUGGCCUCCUGUGCGCCUAGCCGCGCGGUUGGCAUAGAUACCAAGUCCUCGGCGACGCACGCCACGACAAUCGGUGGUUGCGAAACCUCGGUUGCCCGUCGUGUGCGUUCGUCGCGCAUCGAGGGCUCGAAAAAAUGCUCGGCUCCGGCUGGGCUUUCAACGCGACCCCAGGUCAGGCGGGGUUACCCGCUGAAUUUAAGCAUAUCAAUAAGCGGAGGA
rnacentral:misc_RNA from 1 species